rnacentral:rRNA from 1 species
ACAUACGGCCAUAGCUCGUAGAGAACUGAGGGUCCCGUCCGCUCCCCUGUCACAUAAGCUACGAAGCGCCGAACUAGUAGUUGGGUCGGUGACGACCAGCGAAUCCUCGGUGUUGUAUGUU